rnacentral:rRNA from 1 species
UACGUAGGAGGCGAGCGUUGUCCGGAAUCAUUGGGCGUAAAGAGCGCGCAGGCGGCCCGGCAAGUCGGGUGUGAAAUCCCGGGGCUCAACCCCGGGACUGCAUUCGAUACUGUCGGGCUAGAGGUAGGUAGGGGAGAUCGGAAUUCCCGGUGUAGAGGUGAAAUUCGUAGAUAUCGGGAGGAACACCGGUGGCGAAGGCGGCGACCUGGGUAGAUACUGACGCUGAGGUGCGAAAGCGUGGGGAGCAAACAGG